rnacentral:rRNA from 1 species
CUAGAUGGAUAGCUUGGCUUAGACUGCGAUGAAGGACGUGGCAAGCUGCGAAAAGCUUGGGGGAACUGCAUGCAAGUUUUGAUCCCAAGAUUUCCGAACGCGAAACGUAUUAUGCGAAGAGCAUAGUGCUCUGAGAAGAGAGUACACGCUGGGAAUUGAAACAUCUUAGUACCAGCAGGAAAAGAAAACAAUGGUGAUUCCCUAAGUAGCAGCGAGCGAAAAGGGAAUAAGGCAAACCGAAUCCUUAUAUGAAAGUAUAAGGAGAUGUGGAGCGGCUUAGCGCACACCUGGGCUUGUAUAGUUUAAGUUUCCUGGAACGGAACGCUAUAGAGGGUGAUAGCCCCGUGAACGAAACAGGUAUGGUGAUUGCUAAGUUCAAGAGUAAUGUUUCCUGGAUUGGAAGCAUGAAUAUGGCUCAACUAAGAGCCAACUUUAAAUAUAGGUCUAAGUCCGAUAGCACAUUAGUACUGUGAAGGAAUGCUGAAAAGAACCCUUGACGGGGAGUUAAAAGACUUGAAAUCUAGUAGUUAUGGAUUGUUACUGCUCUUUCUCGCUUAUGUGAGUUUGAGUCGUAACGUGCGUUUUGGAAAACGAGCCAGGGAGUUAAGGUAAGUGGCAAGGUUAACUCAUUAUGUGAGGAAGCCGUAGCGAAAGCAAAUGCAUGUAGCUUUCGGGUGAAAUGCAGCAUCGUAACUUGUGUAAGUCACUUAUCUCAGACCUGAAACCGGACGAUCUAUUCCUGAACAAGGUGAAGCCUCUCUAACGAGGGGUGGAGGCCUGAACCGUUGUUGUGGGCAAGCACUCGGAUGAUUUAGGAAUAGGGGUGAAAAGCUAAUCUAGUUCGGCGAUGGCUGGUUCCUGCCGAAAUAUACCUUCGUAUAGCCUCUUGUUAGCUUACUAAUGAGGUAGAGCUACGGAUUGGACAUGCAGGUCGCUUUUGUGGUCGGUGUCCUGUCCAACUCCGAACUUGUUAGAAGCGCAGCAAGGGAAACAGAAGUGGGGGGUAAGCUUCUACUUCGAGACGGGAACAACCAAGACUAAAGUUAAGGUCCUUAAAUGAUGAUUAAGUGCACUGAAGGGCGUCUUGAUUCUGAGACAGUGGGGAGGUGGGCUUAGAGGCAGCCAUCCUUUAAAGAAAGCGUAACAGCUCACCUAUCGAGAAUCAGGGCACCGAAAAUUGACGGGGCUUAAAUCAUCUACCGAGACUUUAGUGUUUCUCUUCGGAGAAAUCAAGUAGGCAGGCGUACUGUUUGGACAGAAGUAUCUUCGUAAGAAGGUAUGGACCGAAUAGUAAUGAUAAUCCUGGUGUUAGUAGGAUCUGACUUACGUGAGAGUCGUAAGGGUCGAAAGAGCUAGGGUUCCUCGACAAUGUCGAUCAGUCGAGGGUUAGUCGAUCCUAACUGCAUGCUUAACUGACAUGCGGGAAAGGGAAGCAUUUUAAUAUUAAUGCACUGUUCAGUAGUUUUGAAACUAUCAAGGACGCUUUAGGACAAGCAGAGUGUAUCCGCAAGGACAUCUCUUGCAAGAAAGUCAUGGAUUGUAAUGAUGAGAAGUGACUGAACUGUAGGAGCCAAAGUUUGUUGAUUCCUAGAGCUCGUAAAAAGUUGAUAAUGGAGCUGCUGAGCAAUCGUACCUAGAACUUGCACUAGUGCUCUUGCUGAGUAGGUAAAGAUCUGCAAGCUUAAAGCUGGUAAGGGAAUUCGGCAAUUUAGCCUUGUAUCUUCGGUAGAAGAGGUGCCUAUAUUUGUGUUUUGUUUCGUAAGAAGUAGGAUGCAAAAGUAGGUUUCAAUAACAAGGACGGCCCGACUGUUUAUCAAAAACGUAGCCAAGUGCUAAUCUGAAAAGACUUGUACACUUGGUGAAACCUGCCCAGUGGUGGUGUCUAAAACUCCUUUUCAAGGGAGCUAAGGUCCAUCAAACGGCGGGCCUAACUGUGAGGCUCUUAAGGUAGCGUAAUACCUUGUCAUCUGAAUGGUGACUUGCAUGAAUGGUGUAACGAGGUUGUCACUGUCCCUACUAGCGAGCUUCUGAAUCCUCCAUUCUGGUGCAGAGGCCAGAGACGCCUAGCGGGAAGCGUAGACCUUGUGGAACUUUACUGCAACUUGUCGUUGUGUUUUGUGAAGCGAUACACAGAGUAGCUAGGAGAGAUGAAACGAUGCUUCGGCGUAGUGGAUCGAAAGUGUAACACUAGCUAUCAUUUUAUAGAAUGCUAACCUGAAAGGGGACAGCGGCUGGCGGGCAGUUUGGCUGGGGCGGCACCCUACUGAAAAGAUAUCAGUAGGGCCCAAAGGUGAGCUCAGUGUAGUUGGAAACUACAUGAGGAGCGCAGAGGUAAAAGCUCGCCUGACUGUGUCUCGCAAAGAGAGAGACGCAGAUGCGAAAGCAGGGCUCAGCGAACCCUAAUAGUCUUUUAGUGGGACUUUAGGAUGACAGAAAAGUUACCCCAAGGAUAACAGGCUUGUCGCGCUCGAUAGUCCAUAUUGACAGCGCGGUUUGGUACAUCGCCGUCGGCUCUUCCUAUCCUGGCUGUGCAUAAGCAGCCAAGGGUGUCGGGGUUCACGCAUUAAAAGGGAUCGUUAGCUGGGUUAAGAACGUCGUGAGACAGUUUGUUUGAUAUCUACUAGGUGUGUUGUUGUCUGAGUGGAACAAAGCUCCAGUACGAGAGGAACGGGCUUUGGGAGCCUCUGGUUCAGCGGUUGUUCUUAUAGAGCAGGCCGCACAGCUACGCUCUGGUUGAUAAGAGCUGAACGCAUCUAAGCUCGAAGCAACCCGCAAAAAUAGACAACUGAGGCCGUUAUAGAAGAUAACGUUGAUAGAGUUGGGGUGUAAGUC